CAACGCGUGAAUAACAAUCAAUAGUCGUUGUACUUGGCAUGUGUUAGUUCGAAAGAGCGGUUUUUGCCGGUCUCUGAGAGGAUGAAUGAUAAAAUAUGCCAACUACCUGAGAGAUAGUAAAGAGGGAGGCAAUUCACUUCCAUGUGGACUACGGGUGAAUGUAUCUGUCCAUGUCUCGAUCGUUAACAACAAGUAGAAUACCAGAGAUCCCGUAACAAGAACAGGUCACAAGGUAUAAAAAAUGAAGAAGUUGUAUUGGUUUUGACUGUUGGGUAUGCCUUGGCAUGCCAGGGGCACGGCCAACACGAAGUGCUCUAUCGUAAAGUGCAACCACCACCACCACUGGUCAAUCUCGAUGUACCGUUAUGUCCAAGGCAGACGUUUAUAAUCAGACAUUUCAAGAACGAAAAUCUAUUAUUUUUAUAAACAACGGUAAGACAUAAAUAUAGAAUAAGAGAUUAUGUGAGAUAUUUACUACUAUCUAUUUCAAUCAUCUCUUGGGAAAUCGCUCAAGUCUAAUCCGUUUACUGUUCCGCCUCAAUUUUCAUCAUUAUAAUUGCAAUUUACAUUUUUCAUAGCUGUAAUACAAGAAGAAAUUUGCACAAUUUUCAAAUUCAAUUGAUAUUCCAUUUUAAUUGUAUAAUUAUUUUUGCCGAGAAGAUAUAUUUUUUUCCGAGAAAUCCACAGAUUUAUGUACAUUUGUAAUAUGAUAAAGGGCGAGAAGAGGUUUAUUAUAUGGGUUGAGUAAAGCCUGAAAGUAAA